AAAUUGAAGAGUUUGAUCAUGGCUCAGAUUGAACGCUGGCGGCAGGCCUAACACAUGCAAGUCGAACGGUAACAGAAAGCAGCUUGCUGCUUUGCUGACGAGUGGCGGACGGGUGAGUAAUGUCUGGGAAACUGCCUGAUGGAGGGGGAUAACUACUGGAAACGGUAGCUAAUACCGCAUAACGUCGCAAGACCAAAGAGGGGGACCUUCGGGCCUCUUGCCAUCGGAUGUGCCCAGAUGGGAUUAGCUUGUUGGUGGGGUAACGGCUCACCUAGGCGACGAUCCCUAGCUGGUCUGAGAGGAUGACCAGCCACACUGGAACUGAGACACGGUCCAGACUCCUACGGGAGGCAGCAGUGGGGAAUAUUGCACAAUGGGCGCAAGCCUGAUGCAGCCAUGCCGCGUGUAUGAAGAAGGCCUUCGGGUUGUAAAGUACUUUCAGCGGGGAGGAAGGGAGUAAAGUUAAUACCUUUGCUCAUUGACGUUACCCGCAGAAGAAGCACCGGCUAACUCCGUGCCAGCAGCCGCGGUAAUACGGAGGGUGCAAGCGUUAAUCGGAAUUACUGGGCGUAAAGCGCACGCAGGCGGUUUGUUAAGUCAGAUGUGAAAUCCCCGGGCUCAACCUGGGAACUGCAUCUGAUACUGGCAAGCUUGAGUCUCGUAGAGGGGGGUAGAAUUCCAGGUGUAGCGGUGAAAUGCGUAGAGAUCUGGAGGAAUACCGGUGGCGAAGGCGGCCCCCUGGACGAAGACUGACGCUCAGGUGCGAAAGCGUGGGGAGCAAACAGGAUUAGAUACCCUGGUAGUCCACGCCGUAAACGAUGUCGACUUGGAGGUUGUGCCCUUGAGGCGUGGCUUCCGGAGCUAACGCGUUAAGUCGACCGCCUGGGGAGUACGGCCGCAAGGUUAAAACUCAAAUGAAUUGACGGGGGCCCGCACAAGCGGUGGAGCAUGUGGUUUAAUUCGAUGCAACGCGAAGAACCUUACCUGGUCUUGACAUCCACGGAAGUUUUCAGAGAUGAGAAUGUGCCUUCGGGAACCGUGAGACAGGUGCUGCAUGGCUGUCGUCAGCUCGUGUUGUGAAAUGUUGGGUUAAGUCCCGCAACGAGCGCAACCCUUAUCCUUUGUUGCCAGCGGUCCGGCCGGGAACUCAAAGGAGACUGCCAGUGAUAAACUGGAGGAAGGUGGGGAUGACGUCAAGUCAUCAUGGCCCUUACGACCAGGGCUACACACGUGCUACAAUGGCGCAUACAAAGAGAAGCGACCUCGCGAGAGCAAGCGGACCUCAUAAAGUGCGUCGUAGUCCGGAUUGGAGUCUGCAACUCGACUCCAUGAAGUCGGAAUCGCUAGUAAUCGUGGAUCAGAAUGCCACGGUGAAUACGUUCCCGGGCCUUGUACACACCGCCCGUCACACCAUGGGAGUGGGUUGCAAAAGAAGUAGGUAGCUUAACCUUCGGGAGGGCGCUUACCACUUUGUGAUUCAUGACUGGGGUGAAGUCGUAACAAGGUAACCGUAGGGGAACCUGCGGUUGGAUCACCUCCUUACCUUAAAGAAGC
rnacentral:rRNA from 1 species